rnacentral:rRNA from 1 species
GCAUAUCAAUAAGCGGAGGAAAAGAAACCAACAGGGAUUGCCUCAGUAACGGCGAGUGAAGCGGCAACAGCUCAAAUUUGAAAUCUGGCCCUUUCAGGGUCCGAGUUGUAAUUUGUAGAGGAUGUUUCGGGUGUGGCUCCGGUCUAAGUUCCUUGGAACAGGACGUCAUAGAGGGUGAGAAUCCCGUAUGUGACUGGUAGCCUAUGCCCAUGUGAAACUCCUUCGACGAGUCGAGUUGUUUGGGAAUGCAGCUCAAAAUGGGUGGUAAAUUUCAUCUAAAGCUAAAUAUUGGCCAGAGACCGAUAGCGCACAAGUAGAGUGAUCGAAAGAUGAAAAGCACUUUGGAAAGAGAGUUAAACAGUACGUGAAAUUGUUGAAAGGGAAGCGCUUGCAACCAGACUUGCAUGUAGCUGAUCAACCGGUGUUCUCACCGGUGCACUCAGUUGCGUUCAGGCCAGCAUCGGUUUCGACGGUUGGAUAAAGGCCUUGGGAAUGUAGCUCCUCUCGGGGAGUGUUAUAGCCCAGGGUGCAAUGCAGCCUGUUGGGACCGAGGACCGCGCUUCGGCUAGGAUGCUGGCGUAAUGGUUGUAAGCGACCCGUCUUGAAACACGGACCAAGGAGUCUAACAUCUAUGCGAGUGUUUGGGUGUCAAACCCAUACGCGUAAUGAAAGUGAACGGAGGUGAGAACCCUUAAGGGUGCAUCAUCGACCGAUCCUGAUGUCUUCGGAUGGAUUUGAGUAAGAGCAUAGCUGUUGGGACCCGAAAGAUGGUGAACUAUGCCUGAAUAGGGUGAAGCCAGAGGAAACUCUGGUGGAGGCUCGCAGCGGUUCUGACGUGCAAAUCGAUCGUCAAAUUUGGGUAUAGGGGGCGAAAGACUAAUCGAACCAUCUAGUAGCUGGUUCCUGCGA